AACGAACGCUGGCGGCAUGCCUAACACAUGCAAGUCGAACGAGACCUUCGGGUCUAGUGGCGCACGGGUGCGUAACGCGUGGGAACCUGCCCUUAGGUUCGGAAUAACUCCCCGAAAGGGGUGCUAAUACCGGAUAAUGUCUUCGGACCAAAGAUUUAUCGCCUUUGGAUGGGCCCGCGUUGGAUUAGCUAGUUGGUAGGGUAAAAGCCUACCAAGGCGACGAUCCAUAGCUGGUCUGAGAGGAUGAUCAGCCACACUGGGACUGAGACACGGCCCAGACUCCUACGGGAGGCAGCAGUGGGGAAUAAUGGACGAUGGGCGAAAGCCUGAUCCAGCAAUGCCGCGUGAGUGAUGAAGGCCUUAGGGUUGUAAAGCUCUUUUACCCGGGAUGAUAAUGACAGUACCGGGAGAAUAAGCUCCGGCUAACUCCGUG
rnacentral:rRNA from 1 species